GUCACAGGUGAGCAGUGGCACUAGGAUUGGACUUGAGUUAGCUCUUCACCUUGAUCUUGGUAUUAAUGAAGAUCAUUGAUUUAUCGUGAUGGGAGGUCUACUGCCAAAGCCAGGUGGUCUCUAGUGAGUGCCACAGUCAAGGAUACCCACUUGGCACAGUGCAGACUCAGAGGAAGAAAGUGGAGUAUGGAAUAGAACAAGGCCAGCUGCCAGGCUCCCCGUGACCACUGGUUUCCAAGGCAUGAGUUGUGCUUGUUAAAAAUACAGAUUCCUCGGCCCAAAUUCCAAAGAUCUUGUUUUAGUAGCAAACCUGCGGUGGAAUGUAAGCCUGGAGGUCUUGCCUCCGUUUCACAGAUUGGUAGGCCAAGGCAAGCCAAGUUAAGGGAUUGACCAAGGGAGUUACCCAGAUCCGCAAAGCCCAGAAAGGGCGGCCCUGCAUGCAGUUCCCAGAGAAUUUCAGAGAGUUGGCUUCUUUUUCCCGGGGUUGCUGACCGGAUAGGCUGAGCCUGGAGCUGCGGGGCCGUGAGGCCUCUGCCCUGGGAGAGCCUGCCCUGAAGAGAACAGGCCUGCAGAGACAACCGCGUCACUGCCUCCCUCUGGCUGUGGCUGCGCAGAGAGUGAAGCCUCCUGGCUGUUCUUCCUUCACCAGCUCUGCUGUGAAAAAGCCUCUUACCUUGGCGCUGAGAUUUAUGGAUCUCAUUUUGCAGACGGAGAGAAUGGAUACAGGGAAGGAAAGUGAUCAGCCAAAGGUUUGGGGGCUGGUGGCUUCAGUUCAGACUUCCUUCUGCCAAGUCUCACUUUCACGAGUCAGCUGGACUCCUCCUCUGCCCCUCAGGGUGUCCCGUGGACGACACUCCUCCCCCUGAGGAGCACAAGGGGCCUUUCUUUGGAGCUGGAGCCCAGUAAGCCAAUGCCUGUACUCUGGGCCAAAACUACCACAGAGCUGCCUGACUCCAGUCUACACACCGUGUGUUUGAGGAAGAAUCACGCCUGGCUGCUGCUCCUGAAAAAACAAGUUUUGCCCCCAACAGAGCAGAUCAUCACCUUCUGACUUUCCUCCUAUGGGAUACAGUUCAUGAAAGCAG
rnacentral:lncRNA from 1 species